rnacentral:rRNA from 1 species
CAGCCGCCGCGGUAAUACAGAGGGUGCGAGCGUUAAUCGGAUUUACUGGGCGUAAAGCGUGCGUAGGCGGCUUUUUAAGUCGGAUGUGAAAUCCCUGAGCUUAACUUAGGAAUUGCAUUCGAUACUGGGAAGCUAGAGUAUGGGAGAGGAUGGUAGAAUUCCAGGUGUAGCGGUGAAAUGCGUAGAGAUCUGGAGGAAUACCGAUGGAGAAGGCAGCCAUCUGGCCUAAUACUGACGCUGAGGUACGAAAGCAUGGGGAGCAAACAGGAUUAGAUACCCCCGUAGUCCCUGUCUCUUAUAC